UCCGUAGGGGGCUAGCGUUGUCCGGAAUCAUUGGGCGUAAAGCGCGCGUAGGCGGUCCGGUAAGUCCGCUGUGAAAGUCGGGGGCUCAACCCUCGGAUGCCGGUGGAUACUGUCGGGCUUGAGUGCGGAAGAGGCGAGUGGAAUUCCUGGUGUAGCGGUGAAAUGCGCAGAUAUCAGGAGGAACACCAAUUGCGAAGGCAGCUCGCUGGGACGUAACUGACGCUGAUGCGCGAAAGCGUGGGGAGCAAACAGG
rnacentral:rRNA from 1 species